UACGGAGGGAGCUAGCGUUGUUCGGAAUUACUGGGCGUAAAGCGCACGUAGGCGGCUUUGUAAGUUAGAGGUGAAAGCCCGGGGCUCAACUCCGGAACUGCCUUUAAGACUGCAUCGCUUGAAUCCAGGAGAGGUGAGUGGAAUUCCGAGUGUAGAGGUGAAAUUCGUAGAUAUUCGGAAGAACACCAGUGGCGAAGGCGGCUUACUGGACCGGUUCUGACGCUGAGGCGCGAAAGCGUGGGGAGCAAACGGG
rnacentral:rRNA from 1 species